rnacentral:rRNA from 1 species
UACGAGGGGGGCGAGCGUUGUUCGGAAUUAUUGGGCGUAAAGGGUGCGUAGGCGGUUCCGCAAGUCCUGUGUGAAAUCUUCGGGCUCAACUCGAAGUCUGCACGGGAAACUGCGGGGCUUGAGUGUGGGAGAGGUGAGUGGAAUUCCCGGUGUAGCGGUGAAAUGCGUAGAUAUCAGGAGGAACACCGGUGGCGAAGGCGGGUCUCUGGGCCGAUAUUGACGCUGAGGAGCGAAAGCGUGGGGAGCGAACAGG